UCCUAUGUUCACCACCUCGAAGAAGAAAAUAAAAUCAUGACUUUCUGCGCUGCAUCGAUGUUGUGUCCCCGUGACAAGUUGAUUGUUAGAAUAAAAACAUUAAGCAUAUAAAGCGAGUUAUCGUUAUCUGUUAUCACUUUUCUCUUUUUUCCGAUUCCGAUUCCGAUUCCAAUGCAGAGAUCUGGUUAUGGAUCCGACGGAAUAUACAGUUCUCUCAGACCCAAAGCUCUCACUCGUUUCUCAUCUUUUCAGCAAACUCUUCAGAAACACUUUCAUUCGCGGAGCUCAAGUUGUUAACAGUUAAAGUCGCUCACGGCCUUCUUCGUCUCGGAAUGACGAAAAACGACGUCGUUCUCUUCCUCGCCCCCAACGACUCCAAACCCUAACUCGUUAUCACCGUCGACGAAUUGUGGGACAAACUUGAACAAUUCCCACGCAUUUGGAGGGAGAGGUUGUCAUAGCCCUUCAUUGAAUGAAAAUUUCAGAAGCCAGCGUAAUAAUGGUUUCUCAUUUUAUUGCAUUUGGAGCUUUGACCAUUAGCAGUGGAACUUAUUUCCAAGGCUGGAUAGGUUAUGUACAUAUGUUUUAAUAUUGUGCUUGAAUCUGCCUGUUCUGCUUUUAUACAAUUAUACAUUUCCCUGGCUCUUUCUUGUCUAUAAAACACUGAUUAGUUUAAGUUUAGCGGCGCUUGAUAUUGUCUUGUAGGGAUAAAUUCGGAAGCAGCACAGACUAGAACAAAAUUGGUUCUGUCGUGACCUUAAACAUGUUAGUUGUAUAUGAUAAAAGUAAAAAGGACAUGGUCUGGAUUCUAAAAUGUACACUCUAGUUUGUUGAAAACAGACUACUAUCUUGUUAUAGUGUUCUUGUUAGGCUGCUUUAUGUAUAGCAGAAAUGGGUUUGCAGUUAUUAGUAUAAAGGUUUUCAGGUAUGAAAUCCAACUGUCAUUUCAAGGGUGAAUGCACAAUUUGUCUGGCAUGUCGUAAUGCAUGCAUGGGCACAUGUCUGAAAUCUCAAUGAAAUUCCCCGUUUAGAAAGAUAAUCUGUUACUUUGGUAGUUUGGUGCAUUAAUAUAUCAUAAACCCCAAAUUGUAUUAGAAAGUCAAGUUUGGUAACUUCGGUGCAUAAUGCUUUUGCUGCUCUGCAUUGUGUAAUUAUUUGUGUUUAUAACCUUCUGGUUAUUCUUGGUGAUGAACAUUUUUGGCGAAGGGUUUUCACCGUACUGGAUUAUUUGCUAUUUCCCUCAUUGUUCCAACUAGGUUGCGCCAGCAGAACUUGAAGGGCUUCUGGUUUCUCGCUCUGAAAUACUUGAUGCUGUUGUCAUUCCAUAUCCUGAUGCUGAAGUUGGCGAGGUUCCAGUUGCCUAUGUCUUUCGUUCACCCAAUAGUUCACUAACAGAGGAAGGCGAUCAAAAAUUUGCUAAGCAGGUAGCGCCUUUCAAAAGAUUACUAAGAGUGACAUUCAUCAAUGCUGUUCCUAAGACAGCAUCGGGAAAAUUCUUCAAAGGGAGCUUAUUGAGAAAGUAAGAUCCAAAAUAUGAUGAUAUCAGGAUGUAUUUUUUUUUUUUCAAAACCAUUUGGGGGUUUAAUAAAUUCUGAAGUAGAAUGCAAGUCCAGAGCAAAUCUGAAAAGGUAUGCUGGUUGCCAUAGUGGAUCAAAUUUGUAUCCGGCUGGAAACAAAUGCUCACUGAAAAUACUUGUAUUUUGGGAAAAAUACAAGUCUUACAUCGGCUAAAAAUAAAGACAAGUUAGAAUAUAUAAGUGAGAGACAAUCCUUACCUAUAAAGCUAGCUUUUAAAGUUGAAUUAAACUUACUCUCACAUUUUAAGAGCUAUACUAGCCAAUACUUGCUUGACUAAGGAAUACUCAAUUUUACUCCUAUGUCUUGACUUCUCACAGGAAGUCAAAGGUCCUAAUAAGAGACUCUAGUACUCUUUAAUGGUCUUUUAUUGGUUGAUAUUUGUGCCAAAUUAGCUGGAAAAUAAUUGCAAAGAUGUAGAAAUCUGCAGAAGUAACCAUUUCAUCAAAUAAAGAAGGAUAUGCAAUAAUUUA